UGUGGCAAUGUGUCCAUAUUCAUACUACUCACAUGGUUUUACUAUGUUUUCCAUCAUCCUAAAGAAGCAUUUUUCCCCCAGAAAAUUUGUCUUGAUAGAAUGUUAGAAUGGCCUUCUGAAGCCUCAAUUUCUAUGCCACUAAGCUAGCCGUAUCUUGUGGGACUAGGGAAAUAUCUUUGAGGAUGCUGUAAAUGCUUCAAAUCAGCAUCCAAUAUGGUGCUGUUUCUCCCAGAGUCCAGGAAUCAAAGAGUGCAAAUGGGAGUGGUUCCAUUCAUUAUUCAACCCAUAGUGAUUAACUACCAAAAUUUUUGCUGUCCAUCCCUACAAACUUAGGCUCCACUGGACUAGAAGUCUUAGUUGCAAAGAGAGGAAUGCUUCCACCAGAAAACAAUAAUUGUUCCAUUAAACUGAAAUUUGAAGCUGCCACCUUGGGUUGAGGCCACUUUGGGCACCUCAUGCUUCUGAAUCAACAGGCAAAGAAGGAGGUUACUGUACUCAAGGAGUUAUUGGUCCUGAUUACCAAGAGGAAAUUGGGUUACUAAUAUCUAGUGGAUGCAAAUAAUCUUAUGUCUGAAAUAAAGGCAAUCCCUAAGCAUGUCAGUACUACCACAUCCUGUGAUUAAUGUUAAUAGAAAACUACAAGUGGAUUCAGGCAGGAUUGCUAAGGGCUGAAACACUUCAGGAAUAUUUGGUUUAUCCUGACAGGAAAGAAUCAAAAUCAGCUGAGAUGCUUGCUGAGGGCAAAGUAGAUAUGGAAUGUGUAGUGGAAGAAGGUAGUUAUAAAUACUAUGACCACAUGACCAGUUGUAAAAAUGAGAACAGUAAUAGCAUGCAUAAUUCUUCAUUUUGUUGUUUGUAUAUAUAUUAACCAAAUAUUUAUGUUUCCUUCCCUCUGUUAUCCUCUUACUGUCAAACAUAAGAUUUAUUAGUAACAGUUAACUUUAUGCCAAAGUAUUUAAGUUACAGAAUAUAAGAGUGAACUUCACCCAAGGACUUUGUGUCCUCCCUCUCUUGAGGAAAGAGUUAAUGUGUUUUCAGCUGUAUACAGGAUAGUAUUUCAUGUUAGUUGGAAGUAUGACUUAUUGUCUUCAUUUGAAGAAUGUGAUUAAAGGAAAUGUGUAUGGGUGCCAAGCUGAUAAGCAGCGAGCAGUUAAAGUCAUUUUUAUGUGUCAACUUGGCUAGACUACAGUUAUUCAAUCAAACACUAAUCUAGGGAUCCCUGGGCACUUGCAUUAUUAAAGAAAAACUGCCAGGGCUUAUACUAUACAAUAUUUAUACAAUUGUAUACAAUAUAACUGUAUUGGUAGGCAGAGAACAUACUGAAAUGUACUAUAUUAAAUAAUAACAGCACGAAGGUAAGUGGGAGCAAACUUGUAUUAGAAUAAAGAAAUGACUCUAGAUAUUAACUUGAAUCCACUAUAAACAAAGAGUAAUAAAAAUGGUAAAUAAGGUUAAUAUAAUAAGCUCUAUACUAUAUACUUUGCAUCUUCUUUACUCAGCAUCUUUUUUUAAGAUUUUACUUAUUUAUUCAUGAGAGACAUAGAGAGAGAGAGGCAGAGACACAGGCAGAGAGAGAGAAGCAGACUCGUCAUGAAGAGCCCGAUGUGGGACUCGAUCCCGGGUCCCCAGGAUCACGCCCUGGGCCAAGGCAGGAGCUAAACCGCUGGGCCACCGGGGCUGCCCUUUACUCAGCAUCUUAAUUGACACAAAUAUAAAGUUUGGGUUCAUGAACCCAUAUAUAUAUAUAAUAUAUAAAAUAACACAAAAUGGAGAAGAUGAAAUAGAAGUAAUGGGUAACAUUUCUAUAUCUCUAUAUUCUAAACUGGAACUACAUUAAUCCACAGGUAGAUUUUGAUAACUUAAGAUGUAUAUGGCAGGCUACAGAGGUGAGGGGCACCUGGGUGGCUCAGCAGUUGAGCAUCUACCUUCGACUCAGGGCAUGGUCCUGGAGUUCCAGGAUCAAGUCCUACAUAAGGCUCCCUGUGAGGAGCCUGCUUCUCCCUCUGCCUAUGUCUCUGUCUUCUCUCUGUGUCUCUCAUGAGUAAAUAAAUAAAAGUCUUUAAAAAAAAAAAAAGCUACAGAGGUGAGAUUAAGAGAUUCUCCAACACACAAAAACUGUGGGAGUUCAUCACCAGUCUAGAACUGCCUUAAAGGAAAUGCUAAAGGGAAUUCAAGUUGAAAUAACAGGACACUAAGUAAUGACACAAAAUCUUAGGAAAGUAUAAACUGAAUGGAAAAGGUAAACAGUCAAAUUCAGAAUACUCAGAUAUUGCUAAGAGGGCGCAUAAAUCACAUUUGAGUGUAAAAGUUAAAAAACAAAAAAUAUUUUAAAAUAACUAGCUAUGACAAUUUAAUAUGUGAUAUAAAAAGAUGUAA
rnacentral:lncRNA from 1 species